AUACGGAGGGUGCAAGCGUUAAUCGGAAUUACUGGGCGUAAAGCGCACGUAGGUUGUCCUGUAAGUCAGGGGUGAAAGCCCGCGGCUCAACUGCGGAACUGCCCUUGAUACUGCAGGACUCGGAUCCGGGAGAGGUCAGCGGAAUUCCAGGUGUAGGAGUGAAAUCCGUAGAUAUCUGGAGGAACAUCAGUGGCGAAGGCGGCUGACUGGACCGGCAUUGACGCUGAGGUGCGAAAGCGUGGGUAGCAAACAGGAUUAGAUACCCUGGUAGUCCACGCUGUAAACGAUGGAUGCUAGGUGUCGGGGCGCAAGCUCCGGUGCCGCAGCUAACGCAUUAAGCAUCCCGCCUGGGGAGUACGGUCGCAAGGCUGAAACUCAAAUGAAUUGACGGGG
rnacentral:rRNA from 1 species